rnacentral:rRNA from 1 species
AGAGUUUGAUCCUGGCUCAGGAUGAACGCUAGCGACAGGCUUAACACAUGCAAGUCGAGGGGCAGCGGUGGUGAAGGCUUGCCUUUACCAGCCGGCGACCGGCGCACGGGUGAGUAACACGUAUGCAACCUGCCUGCCACAGCCGGAUAAUCGGGAGAAAUUCCGUCUAAUACGGCAUAAUGCAUCGACGGGACAUCCUGUUGGUGCCAAAGGUUGAUUCCGGUGGCGGAUGGGCAUGCGUCGCAUUAGUUAGUUGGCGGUGUAACGGACCACCAAGACGACGAUGCGUAGGGGUUCUGAGAGGAAGGUCCCCCACACUGGUACUGAGACACGGACCAGACUCCUACGGGAGGCAGCAGUGAGGAAUAUUGGUCAAUGGGCGGGAGCCUGAACCAGCCAAGUCGCGUGAGGGAUGACGGCCCUAUGGGUUGUAAACCUCUUUUGCCGGGGAGCAAAGUGCCGCACGUGUGCGGUUUGGAGAGUACCCGGAGAAAAAGCAUCGGCUAACUCCGUGCCAGCAGCCGCGGUAAUACGGAGGAUGCGAGCGUCAUCCGGAUUUAUUGGGUUUAAAGGGUGCGUAGGCGGACGCUUAAGUCAGCGGUAAAAUUGCGGGGCUCAACCUCGUCGAGCCGUUGAAACUGGGUGCCUUGAGUGGGCGAGAAGUACGCGGAAUGCGUGGUGUAGCGGUGAAAUGCAUAGAUAUCACGCAGAACUCCGAUUGCGAAGGCAGCGUACCGGCGCCCAACUGACGCUGAAGCACGAAGGCGUGGGUAUCGAACAGGAUUAGAUACCCUGGUAGUCCACGCAGUAAACGAUGAAUGCUAGUUGUCCGGGGCGAUUGAGUUCUGGGUGACACAGCGAAAGCGUUAAGCAUUCCACCUGGGGAGUACGCCGGCAACGGUGAAACUCAAAGGAAUUGACGGGGGCCCGCACAAGCGGAGGAACAUGUGGUUUAAUUCGAUGAUACGCGAGGAACCUUACCCGGGCUCAAACGCAGGAGGGAUGUUUUUGAAAGGAGGCAGCCAGCAAUGGUCUCCUGCGAGGUGCUGCAUGGUUGUCGUCAGCUCGUGCCGUGAGGUGUCGGCUUAAGUGCCAUAACGAGCGCAACCCCUACCUACAGUUGCCAUCGCGUGAUGGCGGGCACUCUGUGGGGACUGCCUGCGCAAGCAGUGAGGAAGGCGGGGAUGACGUCAAAUCAGCACGGCCCUUACGUCCGGGGCGACACACGUGUUACAAUGGCAGGUACAGCGGGAAGCCACCCGGCGACGGGGCGCGGAACCCGAAAACCUGUCUCAGUUCGGAUUGGAGUCUGCAACCCGGCUGUAUGAAGCUGGAAUCGCUAGUAAUCGCAGAUCAGAAUGCUGCGGUGAAUACGUUCCCGGGUCUUGCACACACCGCCCGUCAAG